AUUGAACGCUGGCGGCAUGCUUUACACAUGCAAGUCGAACGGUAACAGGCCGCAAGGUGCUGACGAGUGGCGAACGGGUGAGUAAUGCAUCGGAACGUGCCCAGUCGUGGGGGAUAACUACUCGUAAGAGUAGCUAAUACCGCAUACGAUCUAUGGAUGAAAGCGGGGGACCGUAAGGCCUCGCGCGAUUGGAGCGGCCGAUGUCAGAUUAGGUUGUUGGUGGGGUAAAGGCUCACCAAGGCAACGAUCUGUAGCUGGUCUGAGAGGACGACCAGCCACACGGGGACUGAGCCACGGCCCAGACUCCUGCGGGAGGCAGCAGUGGGGAAUUUUGGGCAAUGGGGGCAAGCCUGAUCCAGCAAUGCCGCGUGCAGGAAGAAGGCGUUCGGGUUGUAAACUGCUUUUGUACGGAGCGAAACGGCUCUGGUUAAUACGCGGGGCUAAUGACGGUACCGUAAGAAUAAGCACCGGCUAACUACGUG
rnacentral:rRNA from 1 species